AAGGGAUUAAGCAGUCUGUGACCAUCACUUUGAUGAUGAGGAAGACCAUUUCUUUCGUCGUCGGGGUUCUGCUUGUGCAUGCUUUUGUUUCAGAGGGGCUCAUCCAUAAAGAGACAGGAAGAGAUUUGUCGCGACGAAUUUGUGCUGCCCGAACCAGAUUGCAGUUUUGAAACAUGCAUGGAUCUCUGUGUUGCAAAGCAGUACAUUACACUCUAUGGCCACGAAUGCCUUGACAGUGUCACCUGUGCUUGUGCUCACCUCUGUUGAUCUCAUGCCUAAUGGAAUCAAACUGGUCUCUGUGUGCGCGCUUGCGCACCAACUUAAUGCAAUAAAUUAAUAAUCACCAGAACCUAUUACUAUGAA